AGGAUGCAGCAGACAUGAUUUAGGCGUUGAAAGAUAGUCUAAACAUGACAUCCCGUUACCUUUAUGGUCGAGGAAUUCCGGUAAAGACGUUCUGAAUACCAAAAAUUGAUUUUUGGCGAAGACUCCUCAAGGAGUCUUUG
rnacentral:sRNA from 1 species